CCCCUCUCAGGACCGCACCUGGAGAGUGUCCAGUACUCUACCACUCCUGACUAGGGGGGGGAGAGUCAAGCAGAGGCCAUUCCAUUCCUAGCUUGGGCAGUGGCUAGAGAGUGGAAGGCAAUCUGCUACAAGU